CUAAGAAUAUUCCGCAAUGGACGAAAGUCUGACGGAGCGACGCCGCGUGGAUGAUGAAGGCCGAAAGGUUGUAAAGUCCUUUUGCUGGGGAAGAAUAAGCGUGGGAGGGAAUGCCCGCGUGAUGACAUGAACCGGCGAAUAAGCCCCGGCUAACUACGUGCCAGCAGCCGCGGUAACACGUAGGGGGCAAGCGUUGUUCGGAAUUACUGGGCGUAAAGGGCAUGUAGGCGGCCUUGUAAGCUUGGCGUGAAAGUCCACGGCUUAACCGUGGGAUUGCGUUGAGAACUGCGAGGCUUGAGUGACGGAGAGGGAGCUAGAAUUCCUGGUGUAGGGGUGGAAUCUGUAGAUAUCAGGAAGAAUACCAAUGGCGAAGGCAAGCUCCUGGCCGAUGACUGACGCUGAGGUGCGAAAGUGUGGGGAUCAAACAG
rnacentral:rRNA from 1 species